AUUGAACGCUGGCGGCAGGCCUAACACAUGCAAGUCGAGCGGAUGAAGGGAGCUUGCUCCUGGAUUCAGCGGCGGACGGGUGAGUAAUGCCUAGGAAUCUGCCUGGUAGUGGGGGAUAACGUCCGGAAACGGGCGCUAAUACCGCAUACGUCCUGAGAGAGAAAGUGGGGGAUCUUCGGACCUCACGCUAUCAGAUGAGCCUAGGUCGGAUUAGCUAGUUGGUGGGGUAAAGGCCUACCAAGGCGACGAUCCGUAACUGGUCUGAGAGGAUGAUCAGUCACACUGGAACUGAGACACGGUCCAGACUCCUACGGGAGGCAGCAGUGGGGAAUAUUGGACAAUGGGCGAAAGCCUGAUCCAGCCAUGCCGCGUGUGUGAAGAAGGUCUUCGGAUUGUAAAGCACUUUAAGUUGGGAGGAAGGGCAGUAAGUUAAUACCUUGCUGUUUUGACGUUACCAACAGAAUAAGCACCGGCUAACUUCGUG
rnacentral:rRNA from 1 species